CAUCGGAGAACUACAUGACACACUUAGCCAGUGUGAAACACACUCCCCCUCAAGGGACACAGACAAAUCUUGUUGGGUUUCCCCAGUAGCAGAAUGGACAACACAAGUAAAGUGGCCGCUGACCCUGCCACAGAAUCUCUCCAGUAGAGUCCAGGAGGAGAUCUAAUAGGAGGGGUGGAUAUAACCCAUAUUUGCCGAUUUUACAUGAGAGGAUGCUGGACUAGAUGGA